rnacentral:ncRNA from 1 species
GCACGCAGGCGGUUUGUUAAGUCAGAUGUGAAAUCCCCGGGCUCAACCUGGGAACUGCAUCUGAUACUGGCAAGCUUGAGUCUCGUACGAAGACUGACGCUCAGGUGC